rnacentral:piRNA from 1 species
AACGGAGGAACAUGGACGUGGCU